UAAAAUUUUACUGCUUCUUCAAAUCAGUAAACUUGAAGCCCAUGAAACGUGGGACAGAAAAGAACUUAACAGCAGCGUGACGUCACGUCCAGCUGUCAGCGUUACCAACCAAAAUUAUUGACAAAUGAAUUUCAACCACAAAUCGAAAACAUUGCAUUUUGGCAGUGGGAUUUCAACGUUAUGUGGUUGAAUUACACUGAAAAUAAAUCGCACGCUAAUCCCUAAUGCUGUUUACGAACAAACAAUACCGCUCGCUAGAUUAGUUGAGAGAAUUCGUUAUCGAUAUUGUUUUUGGCACAUUUUGCUUGUGUAGGAUAAGUGCAACGAUACACCGUGCCCCAGUGCUGAGUCAAAAAUUUCCAGCUCGAAAAGAUCCUCGAGCUGAUCGGGAAUCGAACCCGAUAUCACAACCGUGUGAGAGUGCUAGCAGACCGACAUCGCUAACCACAGAGCCACGGACCACACUCGUCACAUGUAAAUGCCAAUGAAUGAACCUAAUUAUUUUAUUAUGUUGACCCGUAUCGCUUUUAUAGAGAUAAGUGACUUUUCACCUACGCACACUAGUAAACGUGUAAACCGGAUCUACUACGAAAGGCUGAAACUCAAAAGGCUGAAACACGAAAGGCUGAAAUCACGGAAGGCUAAAAGCUACAUAAGGCUGAAAAACACGAGAGGCUGAAUUACGAAAAGCUGAAAAAUCAUAAGGCUGAAAUUCACAUAGUUCAUUUCUAAAAAAAAAAAAACACUCACGGUCUACGGCCGACUCGAUUGUCUAUGAUGUAUGCUGUCCUUACUCGCUAUCGCUCGUUCGGACUAAACUAGGGGAUCACGAGCUAGUAGACCUAGGAAAACGAACGAACCUAUACAGAGGUGAUUUCUGUGGGAGGGCUGCCCCCCGCAGUGGCCGGCGCUUCCGACUGCGGGUCGCCGGCGCACACUCGCGGCCUUCGGCCGUCUCGCCCUGAAUCAUCUAGGAAACGUGUACAAGAGUCAAGUGCGUACAGAUUCAAAUGUUGCUGAAAACUAAUUUUCCAUCGCACAAACCAAUUAAUAUUCAAACAUUGAACUCUGUCACCUUAUAAAGAUUUGCUAGCCAUGUGUCCGAAUUUUUCAACGAUUAUGAUUCAAGUUACAAAAGUUUUAGCCUUUUAUGUUUCAGCCCUUCGUUCAUUCUGCCUUUUGGAGCUUCAGCCUCUUGUGCAUUCAGCCUUUCGUUAUGAAACAUACUUUUCAGCCUUUCGAGUUUCAGCCUUUCGGGUUUCAGCCUUUUGAGUUUCAGCCUUUCGUUACUAACCCUACUAACAUUACUAACCCCGUGUAAAGGUGCUUUUGUUUCUUCCAACCUGUAAAUCAUCGCAUCUCGUUGCUUCGACUUUUAUCACUUUUUCACCAUUUUUGGUCGAUUAUACUUAGCGCCUUCUUCCGAAUUCUGAUCACGAAUGAGAAAAUUUAUUCAGAAACAAGUUUAAAACAUAUAAUGAGUGUUUAACUGAAUUUUUGUCCAGCUACUUAAAACAUAGCAUUGCAAACAAAACAGCUAUUUAUAAAUAUUUUCCCCAACUACCCCAACUAGCACUAACUCAUUCGUACGUAAAAAGGUCUAUUGGAAUCCACGGUAUUUCAACGUGUAUUGGCAUUAAACGUGUUUAAGGAGCACCCCGCAUAACCAAAAACCAUUGCUGAAGCGGAUAGUAAGCACUGUUUGUCCACCACACCUUCAACGGUUGAAGCUCCAUCGAAAAACGAAGAGAUCCAGUAAACGCUGUAGUCGCAGGUAUUUGUCAAACUAUAAUGAAAGUAUCUUCGAGCAGAACGAUAAUGAAGUCCACAUUGCACGACGACGAAUGCAAAACAGCGCCCCUCGCAGCCUGGGAGAAUACAAAUAUGACCAGUCACAAAAAUAAAUGUGCAAGAUGGCUGGCAAGUGAUGAUAUCUGCAGCUGAAAAACAAAAACAUGAUUUUGCAAAAAAUAAAGAA